rnacentral:misc_RNA from 1 species
GCUUAGCCCAUUUGCUCAAUCCUACUUCCAGUUGCUUCGUCCAGCUUCUAUAGCAAAUGACACAAGAAACUGAAAUGAAAUCAAUCAGCUGGCAAGAGCUACAAAUCAGGAAUAUUGUUUUGCAUGUAACCAAUAGGAGAAUUAUAAAUAUGAGUUGUAUUCUAGAUCAUUAUUUUUCUUGUAUAUACACGCCCUGUAUUGCAAUGAUUCAUAUAUGAGAAAAUACAUUUUCUCUUCAUUUUCUGCUCUGUUUUAAUGGAAGAUAGCUUCUUCCUCAUCUCUUUUUAUUCUUU